GACGAGCGCUGGCGGCGUGCUUAAUACAUGCAAGUCGAACGGAAAGGCCAUGAUCUUGCGGGGUGCACGAGAGGCGAACGGGUGAGUAACACGCGAGUAAAAUGUACUUGAAUUUGGGAUAAAUUCAGGAAAAUGGGGCUCAAACAGGAUAGGAGCUUUUGAAGCAUGGUGGGGGAUGGAAAGAUUCGGCGGUUCGGGAUGGUCUCGAGGCUUAUCCGCUUGUUGGUGGGGUAGUGAAUUACAAAGGUUAUGAAGGGUAGCCGGCCUGAGAGGGUGACCGGCCACAUUGGGACUGAGAGAGGGACCAGACUCCUACGUGACGCAGUAGUGGAGAAUAUUACGGAAUGGGCGGAAGCCUGAGACGGCGGCGCCGCGUGCGUGAUGACGUCCUUCGAGGUAUGAACCGCUGUGUCCGUAAACGAGGCGUGAGUGACGGUAAUUAGUAAGAAAGCACCGGCUAACUACGUG
rnacentral:rRNA from 1 species